GUCACGGGUCUAUAUUAAAGCAACAAUUGAUCGAAAAUUAAAUUUGUGUCCUAAUUUACAAAACUUUUAUUUCCUUUCCUUCAUAGAACACAAAAGGAGAUAUUCAUAGCAGAUUUUCAAAGCUGUUCUUGACCACAAGAACUUGACAGGUCCUGUUCUCCGUCCAUGUUUUCUGUAUUAAAGAGAGCAGCGUAAACAUUCCACCAAACAUCUCCUUUUGUGUUCCACAGAAAAAGGAAAGUUUCAGAAUGACACAAGGGUCCUCGCCAAGCAGGAAAUCCCCCACCUCCUCUGUGCUUUGGUGGAAACCGAAGAUAUGCCGCACCACAAGCUUGUUCUUCUGCUUUGUCAAGAUGAGCACAGUCUUUUGGAAGCUGACACCUGCAAAAUCU